rnacentral:miRNA from 1 species
UAGAGACCGAUUAAGUUUGUUAUUGAGCUUUCGUGUGCAGGCACACUUCUUCAGAUAUCUGAAGAAUCUUCUGGUCUUCAGAUAUCUGAAGAAUCUUCUGGUAUCUGAAGAAGUGUGCAUGCACAUGAAACCUCAUACCAAUAACAAACUUAGUUGG